AUUUGUAAAUAGUAUUUGAUGGCUCUUAUUAGCUGUACAAUCCCAGCUAAGCAGCUCACUUCACCUCUCUAAAUUUCAGGUUCUUUAUCUGUAAAAUGGAGAUCACAGUACUCUAUUACCUAUUACAAGGUUGCUUUGAGGACAGCACCUUAUAAAUUUGAAGGAACUCUAAAAUGUGUCGUUGGGGUGGUUGUUAUGGACGGCAGAGAAGAUUGGACGGAAAGCUGGGGAAGAACCAGACUGAAGUCUUGGGUCUGAGACUAGCUGCCACCCUCACCCUGAGCAAGUCAUUUAAGCUCUAUUUGCUUUUGGCAACUCCCUAAGAUUGAUCACUCCUACUGAGUCACUGAAGGCUAACUCCAUUGAUGAAGGGAGUUCCCUUACCCAGCAAUGCCCCAUAAGGACCAAAUCACAAACAAGCAGAAAUUUCUUUCUUGUCCACAUCCACCCUGUGCACAUUCUUUAAAGAAGCCCACGGCUAGCCUGUGAGAACCCAAUUAUAACUCUCUGCACACAUUUCUAGUGGAGGGAGUUCCAAAAACAGUCCUAGACAGUACCCCAGUCUUAGUACCUUGUACCGAGUGUGCUUUUCAAUCCAGAACCUAGGUGGUACAGUGGGCAGAAUUCUGGACUUGGAGUUUAGAUCCUACCUCAAAUACAUAUAAGUUCUGUGAGUCGCAGUGACUCAGUUUCCCUGUGGCUCCAUUUCCCCAUCUCUAACAUGUAGGAGAUGUACUCAUUGGCUUCCAAGGUCUUUAUGAUCUUACGUUGUUCCUUCCAUCCUCCUCUGUCGCCUUCUUCAGGCUCAAUGCCUUGGCAGAGCAAAGGGUGGAAAGACUAUUGAGCCUGGAACCAAAGGACUUAGAUUGCAAUCACAGCGGGGAAAGUUCUUGGGCACGUUAUUUUAUCACUGUGAGCUCCAGUGCUCUUUGCAAAGGGAACAUAAUGGUCCUUGUCCUGACCGUCUCCUAGUUUUUCUUUCAAAAAUAAAUCAUAGCUAUCAUUUAUACAGUACCUUCAGAUUUGUAAAGUGCUUUCCGUCUCCCCACCUGAUCCUUGCCAUAACUCCAUAAUGUAUUAUUGUUCAGUCAUUUCAGUUGUGUCUCUUUGUGACCCCAUUUGGAGUUUUCCUGGCAAAGAUCCUGGACUUUUCUUUAUCCAGUUUUUAUGCAGACGGGGUUAAGUAACUAGCCAGAGUCGCACCUACUUAACUGACUCCAGACUCAACACUCUAUGCACUAGGGCACUAUCUAGCUGCCUUAUCCUAUUAAUAUUCCUAUUUUAUGGAUAAAGAAACUGAGGCUGUUUUAUUCAGGAUCAUAAAACUAGGAAGGGUCUGAAGCAGAAUUUGAAUUUGAAUUCAGAUCUUUCUAACUUCAAAUCCAACCUUGUAUUUAUAGCAUCACAUAGGUGCUCCAUUGAAAAAUACCUUCACUAUUGGAUGGAUCCUUCCUGACGCAUGAGGUGAUAUGGACCUUAUAAAAAAAAUCUAAAUAGAGAAAAACACUCAGAAAACUUUAAGGCAAUUAUAUAUAAAGGUGAACCAGGAAAGAAGGAAACAGGUAGACAGGCUAGAAUUUCUAUGGUCUGACCCAGGUGGUAGCGGAUACAGGAGGUGGGGGAGGGACACAGGUUAGUUCUUGGUACUUGUACCAGGAAGUUCAGAGACAGUAUUUGCCUCAAACUGUGGAACACCUAGUACCCACCCAGACUUCACAGAAUCCCAGUCCACAAAGGAAAAAGGAACUUUGACUGUUCACCUGGUCAGACUUGGGAAUUCCCAGCCCAAACUUCAGGUGGAGCCUGGCUUUUACAGACUUUUUAGGAUGCUUCGGAUGGUCUGAAGAUGGGGAGAAGAUGGCCUUUUUUCAUGUGGAGGAUAUUACGGAGAUGUUUCUUUCAUAAUAGCAUCAUCCUUCAAUCUAAAAUUUGAAUUCUACUUACAUGAACUGAUGCAGAAUAAAAUGAGCAGAAGCAGGAGAUCAUUGUACACAGCAACAACAAGAUUAUAC